rnacentral:rRNA from 1 species
ACGGGUGAGUAACACGUGGGCAACCUGCCUGUAAGACUGGGAUAACUUCGGGAAACCGAAGCUAAUACCGGAUAGGAUCUUCUCCUUCAUGGGAGAUGAUUGAAAGAUGGUUUCGGCUAUCACUUACAGAUGGGCCCGCGGUGCAUUAGCUAGUUGGUGAGGUAACGGCUCACCAAGGCAACGAUGCAUAGCCGACCUGAGAGGGUGAUCGGCCACACUGGGACUGAGACACGGCCCAGACUCCUACGGGAGGCAGCAGUAGGGAAUCUUCCGCAAUGGACGAAAGUCUGACGGAGCAACGCCGCGUGAGUGAUGAAGGCUUUCGGGUCGUAAAACUCUGUUGUUAGGGAAGAACAAGUACGAGAGUAACUGCUCGUACCUUGACGGUACCUAACCAGAAAGCCACGGCUAACUACGUGCCAGCAGCCGCGGUAAUACGUAGGUGGCAAGCGUUAUCCGGAAUUAUUGGGCGUAAAGCGCGCGCAGGCGGUUUCUUAAGUCUGAUGUGAAAGCCCACGGCUCAACCGUGGAGGGUCAUUGGAAACUGGGGAACUUGAGUGCAGAAGAGAAAAGCGGAAUUCCACG